CCACAAUCAAACAAGUGGGUCUCGGUGCCAUGCCUAGAUUGGUAAAAAUCAAUGACACCCAUUAAGACCUGAUUAACAAAAUAAGAAGAAUCAAAAGAUCCAAUUAGAAGAGUAUUUUGUAUUAGACAAGUGUGUGACAGAAAAAUAAAACUCAGAGGUAAAGGGAGAUGGGAAACAGAGUGAAGAAGAGUGACGUACGAGGCAAACGGCCUUUCAUUCUUCAUUUUGCAUAUUGUAUUUUCAUUCUUCAUUCUUUUCUCCAACUAGGAACAAGGAACCUACAAGCAGAUUUAGAUUAGAAGAUAGUAAUGAACAAUGCAUGGUCUUCUCCUUUCAAGAUGAUACCAAGAAAGAAAGAAGUUGGAGAAUCGAAGAUUGAAGAUACCUGGGGAGACAGCGAGUGAGCGAAAGAGGAAACAAGCAGAGUGAACCCUAGUGAUAGGGCUUGCUUCACCAGCAUUAGCCUCUGAGUCUGACGCUGUUGUUCAGAAGAGGGUUUGGGUGAGAUUGGAGUUAAGUUUGGUUGAGUGUAGUGAAACGAAGAAAGAAUUAAUUAAUGUUGAAAAG
rnacentral:lncRNA from 1 species